UAAUAUUUCAGCCUUUCCGCCCCACCCCACCCCCCCUCUCUGCUAUCUAUUUCUUAUUUCAUCCAGAUCCCUGGAUCCCUGCAGCCUCUCCAUACGAAAAGGGAAGACAGAGGUGCAGAGGCAAAUGGGCAUUCAUUCUCUGGAGUGGGACCAGCCCUAUAUGGCUUUGAUUUCCUAACUACACAGGAGAGGAGAGGAGGGAAAUGUUACUGGGAAUCUGCAGGUGUCCAUCUUGUUUGACCACUCCUUCUCCAGGCCUUGGAGCUAGACCAUUAUCCACUGCCUCUGGAAUGGUGCCCACUGAAUGGAGGAAAACCCGUUUCAUGUCUAAUGUAGGACCAGAAUACCCUUAGCCUACAGAUAUGAAGAUGAGUUGGAGGCACCCUAUUACUACCCUGUCCUGGUAAAAUAAACUCCAGCUGAGUCAAUAAGCAUGUACCUUAGUUGUUGACGUACAAAAUGUGCAGCUGCACAAUUAAAUGGAUAUUAGCUAUGA